rnacentral:rRNA from 1 species
UGGGGAAUCUUGCGCAAUGGGCGAAAGCCUGACGCAGCAACGCCGCGUGAGGGACGAAGGUCUUCGGGUUGUAAACCUCUUUCAGCAGGGACGAUUGUGACGGUACCUGCAGAAGAAGCCCCGGCCAACUACGUGCCAGCAGCCGCGGUAAUACGUAGGGGGCGAGCGUUGUCCGGAUUCAUUGGGCGUAAAGAGCUCGUAGGCGGCUUGGUUAGUUGGGUGUGAAACCUCCAGGCUUAACCUGGAGACGCCACUCAAUACUGCCAUGGCUAGAGUCCGGUAGGGGACCACGGAAUUCCUGGUGUAGCGGUGAAAUGCGCAGAUAUCAGGAGGAACACCGGUGGCGAAGGCGGUGGUCUGGGCCGGCACUGACGCUGAGGAGCGAAAGCGUGGGGAGCGAACAG